rnacentral:siRNA from 1 species
UCUUUAGUCAGGUGCAGGUUA